rnacentral:rRNA from 1 species
AACGAACGCUGGCGGCAGGCUUAAGACAUGCAAGUCGAACGCCCCGCAAGGGGAGUGGCAGACGGGUGAGUAACACGUGGGAACGUGCCCGAAGGUACGGAACAACUCCGGGAAACUGGAGCUAAUACCGUAUGUGACCGAGAGGUGAAAGAUUUAUCGCCUUCGGAUCGGCCCGCGUCAGAUUAGCUUGUUGGUGGGGUAAUGGCCUACCAAGGCUACGAUCUGUAGCUGUUCUGGGAGGAAGAUCAGCCACAUUGGGACUGAGACACGGCCCAAACUCCUACGGGAGGCAGCAGUCGGGAAUAUUGGACAAUGGGCGCAAGCCUGAUCCAGCCAUGCCGCGUGAGUGACGAAGGCCUUAGGGUUGUAAAACUCUUUCGCACGUGACGAUAAUGACGGUAACGUGAGAAGAAGCUCCGGCUAACUUCGUGCCAGCAGCCGCCGUAAUAC